UAGGAUUUAAUUCAGUGGUAGAGUGCAUGCUUAGCAUGCAUGAGGCCCUGGGUUAAAUACCCAGCAUCACAU
rfam:Ictidomys tridecemlineatus contig026144, whole genome shotgun sequence.